AGUGAACGCUGGCGGUAGGCCUAACACAUGCAAGUCGAACGGCAGCACAGUAAGAGCUUGCUCUUACGGGUGGCGAGUGGCGGACGGGUGAGGUAUACAUCGGAAUCUACUUUUUCGUGGGGGAUAACGUAGGGAAACUUACGCUAAUACCGCAUACGACCUAUGGGUGAAAGCAGGGGAUCUUCGGACCUUGCGCGAUUGAAUGAGCCGAUGUCGGACUAGCUAGUUGGCGGGGUAAAGGCCCACCAAGGCGACGAUCCGUAGCUGGUCUGAGAGGAUGAUCAGCCACACUGGGACUGAGACACGGUCCAGGCGCCUACGAGAGGCAGCAGUGGGGAAUAUUGGGCAAUGGGCGCAAGCCUGAUCCAGCCAUACCGCGUGGGUGAAGAAGGCCUUCGGGUUGUAAAGCCCUUUUGUUGGGAAAGAAAAGCAGCAGGUUAAUACCCCGCUGUUCUGACGGUACCCAGAGAAUAAGCACCGGCUAACUUCGUG
rnacentral:rRNA from 1 species